AAUCAACGCUGGCGGCGUGCCUAACACAUGCAAGUCGAGCGCGAAAGGGGAGCAAUCCCCAAGUAGAGCGGCGAACGGGUGAGUAACGCGUGGGUAAUCUGCCUCCGAGUGGGGAACAACGACCGGGAAACUGGUGCUAAUACCGCAUGACAUCGUUGGACCUUGGAUCUGACGAUCAAAGCCGGGGACCGCAAGGCCUGGCGCUUGGAGAGGAGCCCGCGUCCGAUUAGCAGUUGGUGGGGUAAUGGCCCACCAAGGCUACGAUCGGUAGCCGGCCUGAGAGGGCGGACGGCCGCACUGGGACUGAGACACGGCCCAGACUCCUACGGGAGGCAGCAGUGGGGUAAUUUUCGCAAUGGGCGAAAGCCUGACGAAGCAACGCCGCGUGGAGGAUGAAGGCC
rnacentral:rRNA from 1 species